AUGUUGUGCUUGUUGUGGGCAGAUAAAAUGAAUGUGGGUGUCUAUACCACCGGCAGUUGCGAUAAGAUGCGCACCAUUAUGAACUUCAGUACUUGCGCCGAUAAUCAUAUUAGGAGUGACAUUAUCCAUUGUAUCUGGAUUACCAGCCUGACCAAUGCCAACGAUAUACCCAUCUCUAAUACCAAUAUCUGCUUUAAUAAUGCCUAAUUUUGCAUCAAUAAUAAUGACAUUGGUGAUUACUAAAUCUAAAACGUUCGGAUUCUCUCUCGUGAUGGUACUUGAUUGUGCCAUCCCAUCACGUAC
rnacentral:sRNA from 1 species